GGUGAACGCUGGCGGUAGGCCUAACACAUGCAAGUCGAACGGCAGCACAGUAAGAGCUUGCUCUUACGGUUGGCGAGUGGCGGACGGGUGAGGAAUACAUAAGAAUCUACUUUUUCGGGGGGGAUAACGUAGGGAAAGUUACGCUACUACCGAAUACGACCUACGGGUGAAAGCAGGGGAUCUUCGGACCUUGCGCGUAUGAAUGAGCCGAUGUCGGAUUAGCUAGUUGGCGGGGUAAAGGCCCACCAAGGCGACGAUCCGUAGCUGGUCUGAGAGGAUGAUCAGCCACACUGGAACUGAGACACGGUCCAGACUCCUACGGGAGGCAGCAGUGGGGAAUAUUGGACAAUGGGCGCAAGCCUGAUCCAGCCAUACCGCGUGGGUGAAGAAGGCCUUCGGGUUGUAAAGCCCUUUUGUUGGGAAAGAAAAGCAGCAGGUUAAUACCCCGCUGUUCUGACGGUACCCAAAGAAUAAGCACCGGCUAACUUCGUG
rnacentral:rRNA from 1 species